CAGUAGCCGCGGUAAUACGUAGGUCCCGAGCGUUAUCCAGAGUGACUGGGCGUAAAGAGUUGCGUAGGCGGUCAAGUUAGCGAGCGAUGAAAACUAUCGGCUCAACCGAUAGCUUGUUGUUCGAGCUGCUUGACUCGAGAGUAUCAGAGGUCGCUGGUAUUCCUAGUGUAGCAGUGAAAUGCGUAGAUAUUAGGAAGAACACCGAUGGCGUAGGCAGGCGACUGGGAUAUUUCCGACGCUAAGGCACGAAAGCGUGAGUAGCGAACCGGAUUAGAUACCCCCGUAGUCCCUGUCUCUUAUA
rnacentral:rRNA from 1 species